GGGGCGGUUAUUUGACCCGCUGUGCCGAUCCACACCACGGCCUGAGGGAUGAAACGCCGCCCCACAGCGACGCCAAUGGCGCUUCGGAUCACUUUGCCCCCGGCUCACCGCUCCUUACCUCAUCGGUCCGGGGGUCAUUCUUACCGGCGACAGCC
rnacentral:snoRNA from 1 species